rnacentral:rRNA from 1 species
GACGAACGCUGGCGGCGUGCCUAAUACAUGCCAGUCGAGCGAAGUUUUUCUGGUGCUUGCACUAGAAAAACUUAGCGGCGAACGGGUGAGUAACACGUAAAGAACCUGCCUCAUAGACUGGGACAACUAUUGGAAACGAUAGCUAAUACCGGAUAACAGUAUUUCUCGCAUGGGAGAUAUUUAAAAGUUGGUUAUGCUAACACUAUGAGAUGGCUUUGCGGUGCAUUAGCUAGUUGGUGGGGUAAAGGCCCACCAAGGCGACGAUGCAUAGCCGACCUGAGAGGGUGAUCGGCCACACUGGGACUGAGACACGGCCCAGACUCCUACGGGAGGCAGCAGUAGGGAAUCUUCCGCAAUGGGCGAAAGCCUGACGGAGCAACGCCGCGUGAGUGAAGAAGGAUUUCGGUUCGUAAAGCUCUGUUGUUAGGGAAGAAUGGAUAUGUAGUAACUAUACAUGUAAGAGACGGUACCUAACCAGAAAGCCACGGCUAACUACGUG